CAGCCACGCUACUGUCACUGGU
rnacentral:miRNA from 1 species